CCUACGGGAGGCAGCAGUGGGGAAUAUUGGUCAAUGGGCGCAAGCCUGACCCAGCAACGCCGCGUGAAGGAAGAAGGCUUUCGGGUUGUAAACUUCUUUUGUCAGGGAAGAGUAGAAGACGGUACCUGACGAAUAAGCCACGGCUAACUACGUGCCAGCAGCCGCGGCCAUACGAAGGUCGCAGGGGUUGUCCGGAUUUCCUGGGUGUAAAGGGCGUGUAGCCGGGGUGACAAGUCAGAUGUGAAAUCUUGCGGCUUAACCGCAGAACUGCAUUUGAAACUGGUGAUCUUGAGUACUGGAGAGGCAGACGGAAGUCGUAGUGUAGCGGUGAAAUGCGUAGAUAUUGGGAGGAACACCAGUGGCGAAGGCAGUCUGCUGGACAGCAACUGACGGUGAGGCGCGAAAGCGUGGGGAGCGAACAGGAUUAGAUACCCUGGUAGUC
rnacentral:rRNA from 1 species